UACGUAGGGGCAAGCGUUGUCCGGAAUUACUGGGCGUAAAGCGCACGCAGGCUGAAUUAUAAGUCGGUAGUCAAAGGCGGAGGCUCAACCUCUGUAUAUCUAUCGAUACUGUAAAUCUGGAGUAUGUGAGAGGGAAGCGGAAUUCCCGGCGUAGCGGUGAAAUGCGUAGAUAUCGGGAGGAACACCAGUGGCGAAGGCGGCUUCCUGGCACAAUACUGACGCUCAUGUGCGAAAGCUAGGGCAGCGAACGGGAUUAGAUA
rnacentral:rRNA from 1 species